AAUGCAUUUAGGUGCAGCGUCGGUCGAUUGCGUCGCGGGGGUAGAGCUACCGGAUGCUUGCGGGCCCUUGUUGGGUACCAACAGCAGCCGAACUCCGAAUACCGUUGACGUGUAUUCCGGCAGUGAGUCGGCGGGGGAUAAGCUCCGUCGUCGAGAGGGAGACAGCCCAGACCGUCGUCUAAGGUCCCGAAGCGUGUGCUAAGUGGGAAAGGAUGUGGAGUCGCAUAGACAGCCAGGAGGUUGGCUCAGAAGCAGCCAUCCUUGAAAGAGUGCGUAACAGCUCACUGGUCUAGUGGUUCCGCGCCGACAAUGUAGCGGGGCUCAAGCACACCACCGAAGACGCGGCAGCAAUCUUCAUGGUUGCUGGGUAGGAGAGCGUCCUGCGAGGGGCGAAGCGGCCGGGUAACCGUGCCGUGGACUUCGUGGGAGUGAGAAUGCAGACAUGAGUAGCGAGAGACGGGUGAGGAUCCCGUCCGCUGGAUGACCAAGGGUUCCGGGGCCACGUUCGUCGUCCCCGGGUGAGUCGGGUCCUAAGGCGAGGCCGACAGGCGUAGUCGAAUGGAUGAACGGGUGGAUAUUCCCGUACCGACCAUGGACCGGCAAAACCGAGACGGUGAGUACUAACCUCCGCCUCGUGGUGGUUCCUUCCUUCGGGUUGGUUCCGCCGCGUGGUGUUGGGAGCGUAGCCGUAGUAGGUCAGCGCAGGGGUGACACGGAAUGGGAGCCGGCCGCGGAGGUGGUUUUCCGUGGUCAAGCACGCAGCCAGUCAUGUAGGCAAAUCCGCAUGGCGCGCAUGGCGAGGUGUGAUGAUGGGAGCCGUUAUGGCUCGAUAUCCGGUUGUCCAGGCCGUCGAGAAAAGCCUCGGCGUGAGGGCCAUGGCCGCCCGUACCCCAAACCGACACUGGUGGUCAGGAGAGAAUACCAAGGCGAUCGAGCGAAUCCUGGUCAAGGAACUCGGCAAAUCACUCCCGUGCCUUCGGUAUAAGGGAGACCCGCUGGGGUGAACCGGCUAGCCCGGGGAGCUUUGGUGGGUGGCACAGACCAGGGGGUAGCGACUGUUUACCAAAAACACAGGUGCAUGCGAAGGCGAAAGCCGCUGUAUAUGCACUGACGCCUGCCCGGUGCCGGAAGGUUAAGAGGAUCCGUCAAUCCCUUCGGGGACGAAGCGGUGAAUUCAAGCCCCGGUAAACGGCGGUGGUAACUAUAACCAUCCUAAGGUAGCGAAAUUCCUUGUCGGGUAAGUUCCGACCUGCACGAAUGGCGUAACGACUUCCCCACUGUCUCGACCAGGAGCUCGGCGAAAUUGCAGUACGAGUAAAGAUGCUCGUUAAGCGCAGAAGGACGAAAAGACCCCGGGACCUUUACUAUACCUUGGUAUUGGCGUUAGGCGCGGAUUGUGUAGCAUAGGCGGGAGGCUUCGAAGCGGGUGCGCCAGCAUUCGUGGAGCCGCAAGGUGAAAUACCGCUCUGUUCUCGUUUGACGUCUAACCUCGACAAGUCAUCCUUGUCAGGGACAGUGCCUGGCGGGUAGUUCAACUGGGGCGGUUGCCUCCCAAAGAGUAACGGAGGCGCUCAAAGGUCCGCUCAGCCCGGUUGGCAAUCGGGUGUCGAGUGUAAUCGCACAAGCGGGCUUGACUGCGAGGACGACGGUCCGAGCAGGGACGAAAGUCGGAGAUAGUGAUCCGGUGCCGGCGCACGGGCGCGGCAUCGCUCAACGGAUAAAAGG
rnacentral:rRNA from 1 species